rnacentral:rRNA from 1 species
GGUUAAGCGACUAAGCGUACACGGUGGAUGCCCUGGCAGUCAGAGGCGAUGAAGGACGUGCUAAUCUGCGAUAAGCGUCGGUAAGGUGAUAUGAACCGUUAUAACCGGCGAUUUCCGAAUGGGGAAACCCAGUGUGUUUCGACACACUAUCAUUAACUGAAUCCAUAGGUUAAUGAGGCGAACCGGGGGAACUGAAACAUCUAAGUACCCCGAGGAAAAGAAAUCAACCGAGAUUCCCCCAGUAGCGGCGAGCGAACGGGGAGCAGCCCAGAGCCUGAAUCAGUGUGUGUGUUAGUGGAAGCGUCUGGAAAGGCGCGCGAUACAGGGUGACAGCCCCGUACACAAAAAUGCACAUGCUGUGAGCUCGAUGAGUAGGGCGGGACACGUGGUAUCCUGUCUGAAUAUGGGGGGACCAUCCUCCAAGGCUAAAUACUCCUGACUGACCGAUAGUGAACCAGUACCGUGAGGGAAAGGCGAAAAGAACCCCGGCGAGGGGAGUGAAAAAGAACCUGAAACCGUGUACGUACAAGCAGUGGGAGCCUCUUUAUGGGGUGACUGCGUACCUUUUGUAUAAUGGGUCAGCGACUUAUAUUCUGUAGCAAGGUUAACCGAAUAGGGGAGCCGAAGGGAAACCGAGUCUUAACUGGGCGUUAAGUUGCAGGGUAUAGACCCGAAACCCGGUGAUCUAGCCAUGGGCAGGUUGAAGGUUGGGUAACACUAACUGGAGGACCGAACCGACUAAUGUUGAAAAAUUAGCGGAUGACUUGUGGCUGGGGGUGAAAGGCCAAUCAAACCGGGAGAUAGCUGGUUCUCCCCGAAAGCUAUUUAGGUAGCGCCUCGUGAAUUCAUCUCCGGGGGUAGAGCACUGUUUCGGCAAGGGGGUCAUCCCGACUUACCAACCCGAUGCAAACUGCGAAUACCGGAGAAUGUUAUCACGGGAGACACACGGCGGGUGCUAACGUCCGUCGUGAAGAGGGAAACAACCCAGACCGCCAGCUAAGGUCCCAAAGUCAUGGUUAAGUGGGAAACGAUGUGGGAAGGCCCAGACAGCCAGGAUGUUGGCUUAGAAGCAGCCAUCAUUUAAAGAAAGCGUAAUAGCUCACUGGUCGAGUCGGCCUGCGCGGAAGAUGUAACGGGGCUAAACCAUGCACCGAAGCUGCGGCAGCGACGCUUAUGCGUUGUUGGGUAGGGGAGCGUUCUGUAAGCCUGUGAAGGUGUGCUGUGAGGCAUGCUGGAGGUAUCAGAAGUGCGAAUGCUGACAUAAGUAACGAUAAAGCGGGUGAAAAGCCCGCUCGCCGGAAGACCAAGGGUUCCUGUCCAACGUUAAUCGGGGCAGGGUGAGUCGACCCCUAAGGCGAGGCCGAAAGGCGUAGUCGAUGGGAAACAGGUUAAUAUUCCUGUACUUGGUGUUACUGCGAAGGGGGGACGGAGAAGGCUAUGUUGGCCGGGCGACGGUUGUCCCGGUUUAAGCGUGUAGGCUGGUUUUCCAGGCAAAUCCGGAAAAUCAAGGCUGAGGCGUGAUGACGAGGCACUACGGUGCUGAAGCAACAAAUGCCCUGCUUCCAGGAAAAGCCUCUAAGCAUCAGGUAACAUCAAAUCGUACCCCAAACCGACACAGGUGGUCAGGUAGAGAAUACCAAGGCGCUUGAGAGAACUCGGGUGAAGGAACUAGGCAAAAUGGUGCCGUAACUUCGGGAGAAGGCACGCUGAUAUGUAGGUGAAGCGACUUGCUCGUGGAGCUGAAAUCAGUCGAAGAUACCAGCUGGCUGCAACUGUUUAUUAAAAACACAGCACUGUGCAAACACGAAAGUGGACGUAUACGGUGUGACGCCUGCCCGGUGCCGGAAGGUUAAUUGAUGGGGUCAGCGCAAGCGAAGCUCUUGAUCGAAGCCCCGGUAAACGGCGGCCGUAACUAUAACGGUCCUAAGGUAGCGAAAUUCCUUGUCGGGUAAGUUCCGACCUGCACGAAUGGCGUAAUGAUGGCCAGGCUGUCUCCACCCGAGACUCAGUGAAAUUGAACUCGCUGUGAAGAUGCAGUGUACCCGCGGCAAGACGGAAAGACCCCGUGAACCUUUACUAUAGCUUGACACUGAACAUUGAGCCUUGAUGUGUAGGAUAGGUGGGAGGCUUUGAAGUGUGGACGCCAGUCUGCAUGGAGCCGACCUUGAAAUACCACCCUUUAAUGUUUGAUGUUCUAACGUUGACCCGUAAUCCGGGUUGCGGACAGUGUCUGGUGGGUAGUUUGACUGGGGCGGUCUCCUCCUAAAGAGUAACGGAGGAGCACGAAGGUUGGCUAAUCCUGGUCGGACAUCAGGAGGUUAGUGCAAUGGCAUAAGCCAGCUUGACUGCGAGCGUGACGGCGCGAGCAGGUGCGAAAGCAGGUCAUAGUGAUCCGGUGGUUCUGAAUGGAAGGGCCAUCGCUCAACGGAUAAAAGGUACUCCGGGGAUAACAGGCUGAUACCGCCCAAGAGUUCAUAUCGACGGCGGUGUUUGGCACCUCGAUGUCGGCUCAUCACAUCCUGGGGCUGAAGUAGGUCCCAAGGGUAUGGCUGUUCGCCAUUUAAAGUGGUACGCGAGCUGGGUUUAGAACGUCGUGAGACAGUUCGGUCCCUAUCUGCCGUGGGCGCUGGAGAACUGAGGGGGGCUGCUCCUAGUACGAGAGGACCGGAGUGGACGCAUCACUGGUGUUCGGGUUGUCAUGCCAAUGGCACUGCCCGGUAGCUAAAUGCGGAAGAGAUAAGUGCUGAAAGCAUCUAAGCACGAAACUUGCCCCGAGAUGAGUUCUCCCUGACCCUUUAAGGGUCCUGAAGGAACGUUGAAGACGACGACGUUGAUAGGCCGGGUGUGUAAGCGCAGCGAUGCGUUGAGCUAACCGGUACUAAUGAACCGUGAGGCUUAACCUU